rnacentral:rRNA from 1 species
UACGUAGGGGGCAAGCGUUAUCCGGAUUUACUGGGUGUAAAGGGAGCGUAGACGGCCAGACAAGUCUGAAGUGAAAAUCCAGCGCUUAACGUUGGAAGUGCUUUGGAAACUGCCGGGCUAGAGUGCAGGAGGGGCAGGCGGAAUUCCUAGUGUAGCGGUGAAAUGCGUAGAUAUUAGGAGGAACACCAGUGGCGAAGGCGGCCUGCUGGACUGCAACUGACGUUGAGGCUCGAAGGCGUGGGGAGCAAACAGG